rnacentral:lncRNA from 1 species
GCAAAGAGUUUCCUUCUUCUGUUGCUACCCUGCAAGACAGCUCCGACUGAAAGUAUGGCAGUUUGCUGGAAAAAGCAGAAGUAUGAGGCCCCUCUGAGUCAGCAAAGGCAACUCCGUUGUAAAAGCAAUACAGAGGAGUGACAGCUUGCUUACAAGAGUGUUCCCACCUUACUUUUGGCAGAGCUACACUAACAUCAGAAACCGUGAGAAUUUGGAAGAAGGGAAAAACUAUGCAAAUACUACCAAGUGGUAACUAAUUCUUGUUUUGGGAAUAUGUUGAGUGUCUGGUCCUAAAACUGGGAUUCACAAAGGAGUGAGGAGGCAGAAAACACCUACGUGUCUAAAGAAGCUGACAAGUACUCAUUGAGUUUCUCAGAGAUAUCUGAGCAAUUUGGAUCUGUAACUCCCCUGGAUUUAAACAUGAAUCUAAAUGCACGUAAAACACCUUUCACAACUUCAUCAGGCU